ACAGACGAGGAGCUUGCUCCUCUGACGUUAGCGGCGGACGGGUGAGUAACACGUGGAUAACCUACCUAUAAGACUGGGAUAACUUCGGGAAACCGGAGCUAAUACCGGAUAAUAUAUUGAACCGCAUGGUUCAAUAGUGAAAGACGGUUUUGCUGUCACUUAUAGAUGGAUCCGCGCCGCAUUAGCUAGUUGGUAAGGUAACGACUUACCAAGGCAACGAUGCGUAGCCGACCUGAGAGGGUGAUCGGCCACACUGGAACUGAGACACGGUCCAGACUCCUACGGGAGGCAGCAGUAGGGAAUCUUCCGCAAUGGGCGAAAGCCUGACGGAGCAACGCCGCGUGAGUGAUGAAGGUCUUCGGAUCGUAAAACUCUGUUAUUAGGGAAGAACAAAUGUGUAAGUAACUAUGCACGUCUUGACGGUACCUAAUCAGAAAGCCACGGCUAACUACGUGCCAGCAGCCGCGGUAAUACGUAGGUGGCAAGCGUUAUCCGGAAUUAUUGGGCGUAAAGCGCGCGUAGGCGGUUUUUUAAGUCUGAUGUGAAAGCCCACGGCUCAACCGUGGAGGGUCAUUGGAAACCGGAAAACUUGUGUGCAGAAGAGGAAAGUGGAAUUCCAUGUGUAGCGGUGAAAUGCGCAGAGAUAUGGAGGAACACCAGUGGCGAAGGCGAUUUUCUGGUCUGUAGCUGACGCUGAUGUGCGAAAGCGUGGGGAUCAAACAGGAUUAGAUACCCUGGUAGUCCACGCCGUAAACGAUGAGUGCUAAGUGUUAGGGGGUUUCCGCCCCU
rnacentral:rRNA from 1 species